rnacentral:rRNA from 1 species
UACGCAGGGGGCUAGCGUUGCUCGGAAUUACUGGGCGUAAAGCGCACGUAGGCGGCUUUCUAAGUCGGGGGUGAAAUUCUGGAGCUCAACUCCAGAACUGCCUUCGAUACUGGAGAGCUCGAGUCCGGGAGAGGUGAGUGGAACUGCGAGUGUAGAGGUGAAAUUCGUAGAUAUUCGCAAGAACACCAGUGGCGAAGGCGGCUCACUGGCCCGGUACUGACGCUGAGGUGCGAAAGCGUGGGGAGCAAACAGG